CCGGAACCGGGACGUGGCGGU
rnacentral:snRNA from 1 species